UACGUAGGGUGCGAGCGUUAAUCGGAAUUACUGGGCGUAAAGCGUGCGCAGGCGGUGAUGUAAGACCGAUGUGAAAUCCCCGGGCUUAACCUGGGAACUGCAUUGGUGACUGCAUUGCUGGAGUAUGGCAGAGGGGGGUGGAAUUCCGCGUGUAGCAGUGAAAUGCGUAGAGAUGUGGAGGAACACCGAUGGCGAAGGCAGCCCCCUGGGCCAAUACUGACGCUCAUGCACGAAAGCGUGGGGAGCAAACAGG
rnacentral:rRNA from 1 species